AUGGAGCAAUUGGAGAAGAGGAUGGAUGCUGCUGAACAACAAAUCAAAGAGCUGCGUGAAGAUCUUAAUAGGAGAUUUGACCAGCUGGUUGAGAUGAUAAGAAAGGGUGUCCCCCCUGCUACCAAUGAAGGAGAUUCAUCUAAAGAAGAGGAAGAUGUUCAUCAAGGAAGAAGGAGAGGUAAUCUUGGAGCAAGACCGCCACGACAGCAUGUUGUUCAACGUGCUUCAAGAAGGCCAAUUUAUGUUGAGGCUUCUGAAGGUGAAGAAUAUGAUGAUGCCCUUGAAGAGCCAAAUCUCUACGCAUAUCGGAGAGCACCCAACCCUACAUAUGCAAGAGAUACAUACAAGGUGAAAGCUGAGAUCCCAAGUUUUAAUGGAAAUGUUGACAUUGAAGGGUGCCUGGAUUGGUUAUAUGAAGUGGAGACUUUCUUUGAGGUCAUGGAGGUUCCGGAAGAUCGUAGAGUUCCUUUGGUCGCAUACAAACUGAAAGGAGGAGCCGGUGCAUGGUGGCAUCGCGUUCAAGAGGAGCGCAGGCUGAGAGGAGAACCUCGUGUUAGAACUUGGCGACAAAUGAAAGGCCUCUUGAAAGGGAGAUUUUUGCCCGCUGAUUAUGACCAGAUCCUAUUUAUCCAAUUUCAAAAUUGUGCUCAAGGAAAUAGGACUGUUUCAGAUUACAUGGAGGAGUUUCUAAGGCUACAAGUGAGGUGCAACCUUGCUGAAACUGAAGAGCAACAAGUUGCAAGGUACGUCAAUGGUCUCAAUGAUGCUAUUCAAGAUCGAUUGAUGAUGCAACAAAUCUGGUCCGUUGAUCAAGCACAAGCUCUAGCCUUAAAGGCCGAGAGGUUUGUGAGGAUGAGAAAGACAACUAAGGCUCCAUAUCCUCCAUAUCCUCAUACCGAAGGCUCAUCUAGGAGCCAACCUAAUAGAGUGGAAGAAAAGACCACUCCACCAAAGACAAAACAGCCCAUCCCGAAGCAAACUAGAGGCAAGGGUAAGGCAAAUGAAGGUCCAAAGUGCUAUAAAUGUGGUAAAGAGGGACACAUAUCCAGCGGCUGCCCACUAAGGAAAUUUGUUAACACGACUAUCCAUGAUAGUGAAAGCGAUGAGGAAGAAUACGAAUCUGAAGCGGACAAGAGGUUUGUCAAGAAGAAGGUGAAGAGGUGGUAUGUGUGA
rnacentral:rRNA from 1 species